AUCGGCUGUAUCCUUCGCGGCCCAACGUAUCCCAAGAUCCUUCACGGCCCAACGUAUCCCUCCCAAGAUUCAUUGCGCAUUCAAUCCAAAAAAUAAAACAACAAUGGCGGAGAAUGUGGAUUUGAGUUUUUCAUUUAAAUGGAGCCAGGAGCAUACUGCUCAAUUUAUCAAACUGAGGGGGGAGAACGACGAACUCUUCACCGGGGUGAAACAUUCGGCGAGUGUGGCUUGGGGGACAAUUCUGGAGAAAAUAGGCCUGCAGGGGAAGGUGACUCCCCUGCAGGCAAAGAAAAAAUGGGAUAAUUUAAAAAAUAUAUAUAAAGAUUGCAAGUAUCCAGGGUCAGGAGAGGGUGUAGGUGGGAAACCCACUGCUGCCACUUGGCCCUGGUUUGUCCUCAUGGAUGAGGUAUUGGGACAGAGGCAUUCCACCAACCCCCCUGUCCUAAUUGCCUCCAUCCUUGAGAAC
ensembl:lncRNA